UCCUCCAAGGCUAAAUACUCCUGACUGACCGAUAGUGAACCAGUACCGUGAGGGAAAGGCGAAAAGAACCCCGGCGAGGGGAGUGAAAAAGAACCUGAAACCGUGUACGUACAAGCAGUGGGAGCACCCUUUGGGGUGUGACUGCGUACCUUUUGUAUAAUGGGUCAGCGACUUAUAUUCUGUAGCAAGGUUAACCGAAUAGGGGAGCCGGAGGGAAACCGAGUCUUAACCGGGCGUUAAGUUGCAGGGUAUAGACCCGAAACCCGGUGAUCUAGCCAUGGGCAGGUUGAAGGUUGGGUAACACUAACUGGAGGACCGAACCGAC
rnacentral:rRNA from 1 species